rnacentral:antisense_RNA from 1 species
CUCGAAGGCAGCGGCGCACCUGGUCCCGGGAACCGCAGUAGCCGCCUGCUACUUGGUUCUCGAUGGAGGCCAGCGCCAGGUCCCCGUUGGCGGUGGGCUCCGCCGCUGCGAGCCCCUUGGAGUCUCCACGAGGAGGAUCGGCCACCAUGAUGGGAAGCACCGGGGUUUCUUAGCGCCUGGAAGCUGGCUGGGAGCGCUUGGGCUCCUUCCCAGGACCCGACGUUCCUAGGACUGAGUUGAGUAACAGCACCUGGAGACUGGAACUUUGGAGGGCUCCUUAGAGUUGUGAGUUCACGGCACUGAAGUUCCUUGGCUCUUGGAAGCUGGAGUGUUUAAAUUCCCCAGGCUGGGCGCUGAGGCUUCUCUGCUCUGCCCCGUGUGCCAGAUGUCCGAAAGCUGGGAGUUCGGAGCGCCUGGGUUCCUUGGCCCUAGGAGCUGGGAAUACAAGAGUUUCUCUGGGUGGGACGUGGGGCCCUUGGCUCCAGGAGGUUGAGUGCCCCCAGAUGGCGGAGGUCUGCAGAAGGCUAGGUUCUGGUGGCGCAGAUCCCGGACGCCUGGAUCCGGGAGGCGGGGACCCCGGGUGCCUUGGUCUUGGACACUGAGAGCUGGGGUGCCAGAAUCGGGGGGCCGGGAAGCGGAGCUCCGGGACCAGGGGACCCAGGCUCUUAGGUCCGGGAGGGUGGGAUGCGGGCCCCUGUGUACGGAAGGCGGUGGUCUGGUGUCCGGGAGUAGCGGUUACCAACCAAGAGAAAGCCUCCCGGGCGUGCCGCGUGGCUCUGAGCCCGUUUAGCGGAAGCUGCCGGGGAUAAGGGUAGGGGGCGGGGCUUGAGAAGGCGGGGACCGACCCGCGGGUGCCGAUUGGCUGCAGAGCGUUCGGAGACUGGGCGAGUAGGGGCGGGGCUGAUACCCGAGAUGGACCAGGUCCCCCACAGAAGGCCGAAUAAUAAUGCCCAUCUCCAGGAGCCGGGCCCAGAGACGACGGGGCGGGGCCAGGAAGGGGCGGGGCCUUGGGAGGGUGCUGUUUCCCGCCAAAGGAAUUGGGUUGUGGGUUGGAGCCCUUAAACCACAGGGGUUCGUUCCCUGGUGCCAGGGUCGCUAGAAAGCUCCGGUGGUCCUCGGGUGAUUCAUUUGCAACUCAACUCAGCUUUGGAACUCCUCAGCCCUGAGUUUGGUCUUUAGUUGCCUCUGAGAACUUUCAUUCCUCGAAUAUAAAGUGCAGAUGAU